UACGUAGGGUGCAAGCGUUGUCCGGAAUUAUUGGGCGUAAAGAGCUCGUAGGCGGUUCGUCGCGUCGGCUGUGAAAACCUGAGGCUCAACCUCAGGCCUGCAGUCGAUACGGGCGGACUUGAGUACUGCAGGGGAGACUGGAAUUCCUGGUGUAGCGGUGAAAUGCGCAGAUAUCAGGAGGAACACCAGUGGCGAAGGCGACUACCUGGCCUGUUCUUGACGCUGAGGCGCGAAAGCCAGGGGAGCGAACAGG
rnacentral:rRNA from 1 species